rnacentral:rRNA from 1 species
GUCUAUGGCCAUACCACCCUGAACACACCCUAUCUUGCCUGAUCUUGAAAGCUAAGCAGGGUCAGGCCUCCUUAGUACUUAGGUGGGAGAUCUGUCUCCAGGUACUAGUGUCAGAAU